GUUUAUGUUUAAUGAUUAUGUUUAAUAAUCUAAUUUUGUUUCAUAAUGCCUUUUGAAAAGGUUUCAGUCUCACCGCGAGAUCCCUUCCAAGAGGCACUGCCCCUACUGCUGCAACGGCCCCAGUCUGGGACGCCCUUUUGUAAGGGGUUGUGUUUUUCGUUCUGCAGCUGACUUGGGUUUCUUCUGCCACUGUCCCAUGAAAGAGUUGAUUUGCUUCAGUCCAUCCCUGCUCCGUUCCUGGUUCAAGCCAAGCUCCAGUCCCUUCCCCGGUCUCAGUGGGAUCAGUUUGUUCUCUUCUCAUCCACUUACAGAAACAGAAGCUACGAACCCACCAAACCCUGGGACAGGUAUUUCCCUACAGAAGCAUUCAUGUUCUUCUUCUGGCCCCUUUGGCCAGUUCCCAGCUCUCCAAACUGAGGCGUACGGCUGCAGCCCUCCCCAUGGCUUCUUUGGGGCAGCUGUGGGGCAGCUCCACCCAGAGGAGGAGAUGCCUUUUCCCCACACGCAACUGGUUCUACAUCCACAUGAGAUAUCCCUUACACCCUCAGCCCCCCCCCCUGCUUCUCGGACUCCCACAGUUUCUGAGAGGACCGCCAUCACCAUCCCAGGAUCCCCAUAUCCCACCGAUGAGGAACCCCACAUCAAUCCACAUCUCAGGAUGGGGCUUCAGCUGUGCCCCGAUGCAUUCAUUCAAGAGAGGAGAAUGAAUGAGCGUAAGGGGGCGCCUUUCCUCCUGACAUUACCCACCGCCUGCGUGUUGGCUGUGCCGUGCCAGCAGCAUUUUGUCCUCGAGCUGUGAGUGCAGAAAACGCCGUCCUUUUGCUGAACUUUGCUCAUUGUACACCCGUCAUCACAGCAAAAAACGCUCGGUGCUGCCCUGGGAAACUCAGCAAUCUCCACAGCGUUGCUCUCCAAGUUAGCACGCUCAUGGCCAGGCUUUGUUCCCUGCAGCUCUUUGCAUGUGCUUUGCAGACAGUCUGUCUGUGGGCAGUGCAAAGGACUGCUGCCUCCGUUGCAUCACUGGACGACAGCAUUCGCUGACGGAGCUGUGGCAGUUCUGAGCGAGCGCCGCGAGACCAAUAACGAGGAGGUGGUGCAGCAGCUCUCCGAGUGCCGCUGGACAAAUCAGGCCUUUCGCACUCUGUGAAUCUAUAAAUUUGACUGGUUUUUAUUGACUUCGUUUGAAGGUGGAGUGCUGAGAUGGGCGGCACUCAGCGCUGCCCUGUAACGCCGCGCACUGCAGAAGCUGCUGCCUGCUGACGCUCCUCCUCUCAGUCCUUCAGCUGCAGCUUCUGCAUCAUCUCCACAAGGCUGUCCACUGCGGAGGCCUGGGAAGAAACGGAGCGAGGGUAGAAACAGGACACCACUUCCCUCGGGAUUUUACACUCUCUUCCUUUCAUGUGUGACAGACGGAGGCCCUGAGAACAAGAAGAGCCGUGUCUGUGUUCACCAAGGACUCACCUUCUGCACGUGCAGCGGCAGCUCUGAGGGCAGCCUUCUUCAGCUCCACUCUCCUCUCUUUCUGUCGCUGUCUUCUUGCUAUAGGCAAUAAACAUAGAUGAAUUCAUUUUAUCAGCAGCACAAGUGCAGAAACAUGGGUGCCGUACAAGCAUAAGGCAGCAAAAAGACGGAGGAAAUGGGACUAGGAAGCCUCCUUGUGAAUGAAAUUUCCAGGGGGACGUGCAGAAGACCACCCUGGAGUUAACGGGAAGAGAAGGGGUUACACGUUCGGGCACCUCACUGCCUUUGGACUUUGUAGCCUUCCACUCUUUUCCCCUCCACAGAGAAGGAAAAAGCAAAGCCAACCCUAAGCAAACUCAGUGUGCUCGCACAGGGAAGUGCCUCAGCACGGCGGGUACCACAGCACCUUCUCACCUCUUUGCUUGGAGCUCCGCGCUGCAGCAGGCCCAGGGUGUGCUGCUGGAGCCGGCACACAGUCUCCACUCGGCCCCCUCACUCUCUUAUUGGAAGGCAGCUGAGCUGCUGUUGGUUUCUCUUCCUCCAAGGCCUUGCGUUUAUAUCCAGCCAGGGUGCUGGAGACAGAGCGGGGGCACACGGCAGGGGAAGGUCUUCCCCCUGUGCUGGGACCUGCUCUUCUAAGAGGACCUCCAGCCUGGAGAGGAGCUUGAGCUGCUGCCUGUUGAGAAGCUCUCUCAGUAUGGACCUGCUGGACCACUUUGACAUAGAUUUUGUCAUUUCGCUCAGCACCAAUCUCUGUUAAGAAAGGAAAAACAAGGAGAUUUAAUGAGAGCCCAACACUACUUUCAGCCUGCAAAACGGGUCACAAUCCUGGGACAUCUCAUCUCAAGUGCUCACGGUCAUGGAUCAUAGGAUCUCGGCUGAACUGUGGGUUCACAUUUCUAAUCAGCACAGGAAUGCUAACUGUACAUGCCAGGGAUUAAGACCAGAACAAACACACAACGUCCACAGUCCCAGGAAAGGACGGACAGAAAGCCUCACUAGAGAGACAGUGCACCAAACCCAGGUGCCUGCUGUGUGUCUGUACCUCUCUUGGGUGCUGUGCCACACUGGGCGCUUCUGCCUUGCCUUUCUGCAAGGCUGCGCUUUGCUGGAAGGCCGCUCGCAUCAGCUUCUGGCAGAAAGGAGACAAGACAGACAUGAAGAGCAUCUCUAUGGCGGAAGAUUUGAGCACAGCCAACCACAAUCUUCUGGUCUUCAAGAGCAGUUUCUUCAGCUUGCCUUUCUGCUGCUACAACAUUAUGCCGCUUCUGCAGUCAGCACAGCUCACAAGAGCUUCUUACCUGCGGAGGCUUUGCGUUUCCAGCCUUGCCCAGCACCACUCCAUGGACGCGCAGGCUCCAUCCCUACAACAACAGAUGGUGUGUUGAUUUCACAGACACCAGCAGGCAGCAGAAGUACUGCCCAGUAUGCCCACGUCCCCCCAGAAAACAGAAAGAGGCUACUUGGACAGCCCAAACACAAACUGAUUGAGAGUUCACUUCUCACUGCUCCUUCCUGCACUCCAAAGGGAUGCUCACUUGACAUCCCCUGCAGCGCUGCACCCGCCCAGAAGGAAUACUCAAAAUUCAUUCCUCCACACUUCACGACAGAUGGCUGAAGAAACUCACUUCUGUAUGGCAUGAAGGACCGUCCGUCCCUGUUGCGUCCCUCUGUGCGCUGGAAGGCGCGGUGGGAUCUCUGGCAGCCUGCUGGCUGCUGCUCCCAACCGCGGGGAACCGCACCGCGCCGCUUCUGAAGAGAGAAAGGAAGAAACGGUGGUGGGAACGGGCAGCCAAGGCUUGCAGAGAGGUUCCAGAUGGUGCCAGAGAGGGGAUGUCAGAGUGCUGAGACACUGAUUAUCACUAAGGGAAAAGACGGCCUGAGCCACGUCCGCGUUGUUAGCCCAGGCUGUCAGCAGUGAGCGCUGAAUGCAACCGGUUACUGAGGUCACCAAGGACCAGCAGGGCUCCCCCUGCUCCAUCCAUUCCCCAUGAUAAAAAGAGAAAGGAAGAACCAAGCAGAAGAAGCCCAGCCAUACCUUGCCACUCAGACGGCAGCAAUUGGAACCGCGGUCGUCUCCGUGCUGAGACAUGGCCGCUGAAGGCUCAGAGGAAGCUGAAGGUCCCAGGCCUCUGUGCACAGGAACUUCCCCGGCCCUUGCAAAGAGCUGGCUUCCCUCUUCCUCCGACUGCCUCGAUCCCAAAAUCUCCCUUGGGACAGGAACCCUGCAGAGAGUACCGACGAGUGCACACGCGGUGCUUCUGACGGGCUCUCACAGGGUGAUCUGUUCCACGGAAGGCCCAGAGCUCAGCCUCGGUGUGCAGCACGCUCACCAGAGCACCAGCUCUGCUCACCAGCUGUGGCGGAAACGCUGCCAGCCCAGCAGUGAUUGUGACCUCAGCGAGUGCCCGCAUCGCUUCCGUGCUUUCAUCAUAAGCGAAGGAAAUGGACGACUCCCUGAUCCACAUCUUAGGAAAUCACCACCAGGGUCACCCAGUGGGGUUAUUUGAAUAAUGGAGAAGUGAAGAUGACUGUUGUGCAGCCCAGUAAAAACCAGUCAAGACCAGUAUGGCCUCAGAGUGGUCAAUGGAGUCCCAGGGGAACCCGUAGAAAACUAAACCCAGGGCCUGUGCCAGCAUCUCUGUUUGGGGCUUUGAGUCCCAGGGCUGAUUUCAGCCUCUCCGGCUGUGGCUUUAAGUCCCAGGGCCAGUGCUGGGCUCCCCGCCUGUGUCUGUGGCCUCAGGCCCUUGGCUGCUUCUGGCCUCUGCAGCUGGCAUUGUGGCUUUAAGCCCUUGGACUGGUUCCAGCCUUUCAGGCUGUGGUUUUGGUCCCCAGGAUUGGUACCAAAUUUGAAGAAACCAACAGGAGGCUCACCCAAUGGGGUUCUGUGAAGCAUCAGAACAGAGAAAUACACACGAUUGUUGUGUAGCCAGGCUGGGUCAGCCUCUCGCUCAGGUGCUGCAUGAUUCGAAGCAGGAGACGUUUCCCCCAGGCUGCAUCCUGAUUGGGGUCAUUGGAGACAAUGGGGUCAUUGGGGUCUAUGGGGACAUUGGAGUCAAUGGGGUCACUGGGGUCAAUGGGGGUCAUUGGGGUCAGUGGGGGCCAUAGGGGUCUUUGUGGUCAUUGAAUUAAAUGGGGUUAUUAGAGUGAAUGGGGUCAUUGGUGUCAGUGGGGUCAUUGGAGUAAAUAGGGUCAUUGAAGUGAAUGGGGUCAUUGGAUUCAAUCGGAUCAUAAGGGUCAAUGUGGUCCCUGCGGCAAUGGGGGUCAUUAGGGUCAAAGGGUGUUAUUGGGGUCAUUGUAGUCAAUGGAGUCAUUGGGGUCAAUUGGUUCAUUGGGGUCAAGUGGCUUAAUGCGGUCAGUGGGGGUUAUUGGAGUCAAUGGAGUCAUUGGGAUUAAUGGGGUCAGUGGGGUCAAUAGGGUCAUAUGAGCUUAAUGGGGUCACUGGGGUCAGUAGGGUUAAUGGGUUGUUGGGGUCUUAUGGGGUCAUGGGUAUCAUUAGGAUCUUUGGGAUCGGUGGGGUCAGUGGGGUCAUGUGGGGUCACUGGGCCCAUGUGGGAUCAUUGGGAUCAUGAGGAUCAGUGGGGUUAUAUGGUUCAUGUGAGGUCACUGUGGUCACUCGGUCAAAAAGGUCUAUGGGGUCAGUCGGGCCUAUGGGGUCAUUGGAGGCCAGAAGGGUUUGGGCUUCCAAGCAAUCACCAAGCUUUUGGAUGAGCCAGCCCUCUGCUUUUUGUGAGGACAGACCCCAACGAGCCCACAUAACCCGAAUAACCUCCUUGACCCCCACAGACAAGUCCUCCUUGGAAAGCCAUCUCGGCAAGGGCAGAAUAGCGCUGUUCUUGGGCCGCAGCACUCCAUGGCCAGGCGCUGCUCAGACACUGGGGCUGCAUUUCCUCCUGGGCACCCACACAUGCUGCGAUUCCCCUGCAGGUUCCUGCCGGGUUUGUGGCUUCCUGCUGGGGAACUCCUCAUCUUCUUCUGCAACUGCCCCCCAACGUCACUACUGCCUCCUCUGGUGCUGUACUGGCAGAUGCCUCAGCGUUCAUGAGCCUGGACUUCCUGCCUCCCAUCAGCAGCUGCUCCUUCAUUCAUACUGCAAUACCGUCCACUUCCAGCUCCAGCAGAGCUGCAAGGCAGAGAUGGGAAACGUGGGAUUAAUGCAAAAGCAGAAGCCCAAGGCUGUCCCACCACCACGUAUUGCAGCCUCGGAAAGUCAGCUGCAACUACAACCUCUGUCAGAAUCAAAACAGGCACCGUACAUUAAGGGUCACCUCUGAACUGAAGGAAUUACCACAGUUGGAAAUAAAUACUGAAAUUGCUCAUUUA